AGUGAACGCUGGCGGUAGGCCUCACACAUGCAAGUCGAACGAGUGGCGGACGGGUGAGGAAUACAUGGGAAUCUACUCUAUCGUGGGGGAUAACGUAUGGAAACUUUCGCUAAUACCGCAUACGAUUGAAUGAGCCGAUGUGGGAUUAGCUAGUUGGCGGGGUAAAGGCCCACCAAGGCGACGAUCCGUAGCUGGUCUGAGAGGAUGACCGGCCACACUGGAACUGAGACACGGUCCAGACUCCUACGGGAGGCAGCAGUGGGGAAUAUUGGACAAUGGGCGCAAGCCUGAUCCAGCCAUACCGCGUGGGUGAAGAAGGCCUUCGGGUUGUAAAGCACUUUUGUUGGGGAAGCGGUACCCAAAGAAUAAGCACCGGCUAACUUCGUGCCAGCAGCCGCGGUAAUUC
rnacentral:rRNA from 1 species